UUUGGUACAAUCUGGUUCACAUCAUAAUGGUUCUUUUGCCAACAGGAGCUGGUAAUCAGGAUGGCAGUGAGGCAGGCACUUGCUUGCAGAAGAACAGGCCUAGUUUUUUAAGAAGCCACAAAAGUGUCUUUGGAUGAUUAGGAUCUAAGGGGCCAACAGCUUUGCAAUAACAGCAUAAAUAUUGUGGGCUGGAUGGACAGGCACCAAAUGGGGACAUUCCAUCCUGCUGUGUGAUGAGAAAGCUGCCACUUUUGAGGCCUUCCAAAACAAAUCAACACUCCAUAUGCCAGAAGGAAAAGCCCAGGAAAGACCUAUUCCAACUGGAGAUGGUGAAUGUCAUUUCUUCAAGAAGCUGAGAUCCAGCUGGUACUGCCAGGUGGAGAGUGAGUUGGGUAGCUGACCUCGGGCAUGGCAGCCUUGGUUUUUGGCCACUUCAUGGGGUGACCUGUUGAGCAAACAGCAGUGGAAUUCUGCAGCUGUGGACCAAGAUGAAUACGAAGGGAGAAUGAAACAAAACUGCUCCGCUUAGGGAACUUGGAAAGGAAAUUGAAAAGGCAAGGCACAGGCUGGAAGAAAAUAUUUGAAAAAGAUUUAUGUGAACUUCUUUCUGGAUUAUACAAAAUAUUUUUAGAUAUUCUUACAACUCUAAAAUAAGAUAACUCCUUAAAAAUCUAAAUUCUACCAAAGGAGAGAUAAAGAUGACGAAUACAUUCAAAGAUGCUGAAAAUCACUUAUUUAUUAUUAGGAAGUUACAAGCUAAAGCAUAAUGAGAUACCACUACAACCUACUAAACUGACUAAAAUUAAUCAGACUAACCAGGUGUUGGCAAGAAACAGGGACACUGAGACUCUCACACUGCUGGAAGGAAUGUAAAAUGCUAAAACUUCUUUGGAAAUGAGUUCAGUAACUUUUUAAACAGUUGAAAAUAGACCUAUCAUGCAAACCAGCAAUCCCACUUCCAGGUAUUUAUACAAGGAAAAUGACAACAUAUGCCCACAUAAAGACUUGUGCACAAAUGACCGUAGCAGCUUUGUGAUAAUUGCUAAAAACUAGAAACUUGUCAAGUGUCCAACAGGUGAGUGGACAAACUCACUAUAGUAUAUCCAUACAAUUAAGUACUAAAUAGCAAUAAAAAGGAACUAUUAAUACAUAAGGAAAUAGAGACAAACUACAUAAGUUGCUGAAAAAUCACAGCAAAUAAUUAGCUGAGGAAGAGACUCAAAUCUAUCAGAACUGCUUGACUUUUGAUCCUGAGCUUAUGCGCAUCCAGUGGGCAAGUGAGGGUGCAUGGGUUUGUGAAGACUCCAGCAGUAUGAUUGGGGGACUCACUUGCCAGCCUCUGCCUGGACCCAGAGACAUUGCCUGAACUGUAUGAAUUGCUAAGAAGCUGCUAGUCUGCAAGGAAUUUCCCUUUUCUUCUUCCCUUAAUAGACAAAAA
rnacentral:lncRNA from 1 species